GACGAACGCUGGCGGCGUGCUUAACACAUGCAAGUCGAGCGGUAAGGCCCUUUCGGGGGUACACGAGCGGCGAACGGGUGAGUAACACGUGGGUGACCUGCCCUCAGCUCUGGGAUAAGCCUGGGAAACCGGGUCUAAUACUGGAUAUGACUCCAUGACGCAUGUUGUGGGGUGGAAAGCCUUGUGCGGCUGAGGAUGGGCCCGCGGCCUAUCAGCUUGUUGGUGGGGUGANGGCCUACCAAGGCGACGACGGGUAGCCGGCCUGAGAGGGCGACCGGCCACACUGGGACUGAGACACGGGCCAGACUCCUACGGGAGGCAGCAGUAAGGAUAUUGCGCAAUGGGCGAAAGCCUGACGCAGCGACGCCGCGUGGGGAUGAAGGUCUCGGAUUGUAAACCCCGUUUCGGGAGGGAAGAUGGAACGAGCAAUCGUUCGGACGGUACCUCCAG
rnacentral:rRNA from 1 species